rnacentral:lncRNA from 10 species
AUUGAUAUAAAACUGCUUUUUUCCCCCACAGUAAGAAUGGGAAUCCUGUAGAUAACAAAUUAUUGCAGUCAGGAACAGCAAGUAUCUCAGGAACCUGGAGACAAGAUGACUUUAAUAAAUCCUGCAAUGCCUAUUUGCAGUGAAAGUUUAGAAACUAAAAACCUAUGUUCACAGUAGAGUGCUUUGUCUUUUGAGAAUUCCUCUCUUAUUUUUUAGCUUUGUCCUUCGGUUUUGAUCUUUUAUUUUCUCGUGAAAAUCAGUGCACACGUAUGUUUAUUGUGGCACUAUUCACAAUAGCAAAGACUUGGAACCAACCCAAAUGUCCAACAAUGAUAGACUGGAUUAAGAAAAUGUGGCGCAUAUACACCGUGGAAUACUAUGCAGCCACAAAAAAUGAUGAGUCCAUGUCCUUUGUAGGGACAUGCAUGAAGCUGGAAACCAUCAUUCUCAGCAAACUAUUGCAAGGACAAAAAACCAAACACCGCAUGUUCUCACUCAUAGGUGGGAAUUGAACAAUGAGAACGCAUGGACACAGGAAGGGGAACAUCACACACCGGGGCCUGUCGUGGGAUGGGGGAAAGGGGGAGGGAUAGCAUUAGGAGAUAUACCUAAUGCUAAAAGACGAGUUAAUGGGUGCAGCACACCAACACGGCACAUGUAUACAUAUGUAACAAACCUGCACGUUGUGCACAUGUACCCUAAAACUUAAAGUAUAAUAAAAUAAUAAUAAUAAUAAUAAAAGGAAAUCAGUGCAAAUGGUGGCAGACAGAAUCUAGUUUCACUUAUGAGAUUGAAUGAAAACCAAUAUGAGGUCCGAGACAAAACAGUCAUAAGGGAGACUAAGUCUGACUUUAUUCUAGACCAAGAGAAUGUUCAUAGUAUAUACAGAAUCCAGACAAGUACAUCAGGAUAGGUGGUCCGACAGCAAUGUGAGAAUCAAAUACCCUUCACCGAUAAGAUUAUUUUGCCCAUGGCCCCCUCCCUGGACACACAUGGAUAUAAUUGUUCAUUUGUUCAUAGAUUUUAGCUACCUCUUUAUCAUUUCUGUUUGCAUUGUUAAUAUUACUUAAAAAUAGGAACUUAUUAAUAUUUGUGUUUCCAGAAAAUUUUCUAAAUGUGGGCUAAGACCGAAGG